rnacentral:rRNA from 1 species
UGAUUCUGGCUCAGGAUGAACGCUAGCUACAGGCUUAACACAUGCAAGUCGAGGGGCAGCGGGAUUGAAGCUUGCUUCAAUUGCCGGCGACCGGCGCACGGGUGAGUAACGCGUAUCCAACCUUCCGUACACUCAGGGAUAGCCUUUCGAAAGAAAGAUUAAUACCUGAUAGUAUCUUAAGCACACAUGUAAUUAAGAUUAAAGAUUUAUCGGUGUACGAUGGGGAUGCGUUCCAUUAGGUAGUAGGCGGGGUAACGGCCCACCUAGCCAACGAUGGAUAGGGGUUCUGAGAGGAAGGUCCCCCACAUUGGAACUGAGACACGGUCCAAACUCCUACGGGAGGCAGCAGUGAGGAAUAUUGGUCAAUGGACGAGAGUCUGAACCAGCCAAGUAGCGUGAAGGAUGAAGGUCCUACGGAUUGUAAACUUCUUUUAUAAGGGAAUAAACCCUCCCACGUGUGGGAGCUUGUAUGUACCUUAUGAAUAAGCAUCGGCUAACUCCGUGCCAGCAGCCGCGGUAAUACGGAGGAUGCGAGCGUUAUCCGGAUUUAUUGGGUUUAAAGGGAGCGCAGACGGGUCGUUAAGUCAGCUGUGAAAGUUUGGGGCUCAACCUUAAAAUUGCAGUUGAUACUGGCGUCCUUGAGUGCGGUUGAGGUGUGCGGAAUUCGUGGUGUAGCGGUGAAAUGCUUAGAUAUCACGAAGAACUCCGAUUGCGAAGGCAGCACACUAAUCCGUGACUGACGUUCAUGCUCGAAAGUGUGGGUAUCAAACAGGAUUAGAUACCCUGGUAGUCCACACGGUAAACGAUGGAUACUCGCUGUUGGCGAUAUACUGUCAGCGGCUUAGCGAAAGCGUUAAGUAUCCCACCUGGGGAGUACGCCGGCAACGGUGCAACUCAAAGGAAUUGACGG